AGAGCGAACGCUGGCGGCAGGCUUAACACAUGCAAGUCGAGCGGAAAGGCCCUUCGGGGUACUCGAGCGGCGAACGGGUGAGUAACACGUGAGCAACCUGCCCCUGGCUCUGGGAUAGCCUCCGGAAACGGGGAUUAAUACCGGACAUGACUCCUGACCGCAUGGUUGGGGGUGGAAAGUUUUUCGGCCAGGGUGGGGCUCGCGGCCUAUCAGCUUGUUGGGGGGGUGACGGCCCACCAAGGCGACGACGGGUAGCCGGCCUGAGAGGGCGACCGGCCACACUGGGACUGAGACACGGCCCAGACUCCUACGGGAGGCAGCAGUGGGGAAUAUUGCGCAAUGGGCGGAAGCCUGACGCAGCGACGCCGCGUGCGGGAUGAAGGCCUUCGGGUUGUAAACCGCUUUCACCAGGGCGAAGCGAGAGUGACGGUACCUGGGGAAGAAGCGCCGGCUAACGUACGCGCCAGCAGCCGC
rnacentral:rRNA from 1 species